ensembl:lncRNA
AAGCUGAUACCUGUCCUGCCUUCACAUCUCUUUUCUGGGGCCAAGAAACUUCAUGUAUCCUUUGUGGCCUUCCCCUAACACUCUGCUUUGGAAUUCAGAUUAGACAAAGUGAAGUAAGGGGGCAGCCAGGUUCUACCAUGAACAUCAAGACAGUUGAUUGUCACUAGGAUAUGUGUACCAGAUGGAGGAGAGAUCCUUUGGUGUCCCCAGCCCCUUGCUGGCAGUUGAGAAAUCUGGAAUUGCUCUCUGCAACACUGCUUAGCAACAACUAAAAACACUGGUGCGUUACCAACAUUGUUUUUCUCCUAAAACCAAAACACAGCAUCAUACCAGACACUCUGAAGAUAAGCAAUUCUGCCUCAGCUGAAACUAAGACAUCAUCAUACACUUCCAGGUUUUAUUUAGCUGAUAAUAUCCAAACUUAUCAGAAUACAGAGCAAUUAACUCAAUUCUGGGCAUGGCUGUUGCAAACUCAUGCACUCACAAAUACUGAUGACCUUCUCUGCACAGCAGCACAGCUGAGGAGAAGAAGAGUACAAAAGCCCCAGAUCAACCUUUCUGAAGUAUCCAAUGUUUUUUUAUUACGAUUUAGGACAGCUAGGAUUCACCUGGUAAAGUGUGCAGAACUGUAUUGUCUGCAACACAAAAAGGCACCUACUUUCUACCUCAGAUACUACUGGAGCUGCAUUGCAACUCACCUUUGCCUGGAGGAGGUUUCUAAAGUAUGCCAGAUGAGUCAUUCCUUGGAAAUGCAUGUUUCUCUCCUUUGACUGUAAAAAGAAUGACUGCUCAUGGAAGAAGGUGGGAUGCAUAUAGCGAGGUGAACGUGAAUCCCACUUGUGAUGGCACAGCAUGGUGCUCUGCACACGCAGACUGCAGCUGUUCAGGUCUCUGUCAGAGAACAAGGAACAGUCAGCGAUCCCCAUGGAUAUUUGGAUGUCAAGGCUGUCAACAGGACAGCAAUCAGCUUCCCUGAUGUGGUUGUUCUCCUAAUUUUACCUUACUGGGUGGGUCCAGCUCAUGUAAUGCAUGCCUCUCUCCUUCAUAACGCAGGAGGCUGUGAAUCCAGAAAUAAAAUCAGAAAUGCCUUUAUGUCCAG